AAAAACCCAUUAAAAUAUUACCGUCGUUACCCGUACGAUUCGGUUAGUGCCUUUAUAAUAUGUAAGCACCUAUACAUACAGGAUGAUCGAUCUGUCGUGAGACACUCAUUAUCUCAGAAAGCAUAGUUUGCUCUUUCCGGAAUUUGUUUUGCAGGACAUUUAAGAAACAAGCGGCUCCGCAAUUUCACGUUUGUGUUACAUUUUGUCGCUCUCAUAUUCGGGGUUGAAACUAAUUACCAACUUUUGAUUUGUUGACACGGACAACCACGUUAAAAUAUAGAAUGUUGUAUCUAAAAUUUUCCAAACAACAAAUUCCGAAAAAAAUCGAUACUGUCCGAGAUUAUGCGUGUCUUACGGUAGAUCGAUCACCCUGUAUAAUAAUUAUAUGUUCGACGCGCAACUAUUUAAAAUGUACGUAACGGAAUGAAUGUUAG